rnacentral:tRNA from 1 species
GACACUGUGUCCGAGCGGUCUAAGGAGCAGGAUUUAGGUAGGUUGUGGUCCUCGUGUUGAGGCCUCUUCUUAUUCUUGAAAGAAACGUUCCUGUACGAAAGUGCGUGGGUUCAAAUCCCACCGGUGUCA